rnacentral:rRNA from 1 species
UAGCAGCCGCGGUAAUACGUAGGUGGCAAGCGUUGUCCGGAAUUAUUGGGCGUAAAGGGCUCGCAGGCGGUUUCUUAAGUCUGAUGUGAAAGCCCCCGGCUCAACCGGGGAGGGUCAUUGGAAACUGGGAAACUUGAGUGCAGAAGAGGAGAGUGGAAUUCCACGUGUAGCGGUGAAAUGCGUAGAGAUGUGGAGGAACACCAGUGGCGAAGGCGACUCCCUGGUCUGUAGCUGACGCUGGAGCGAAAGCGUGGGGAGCGAACAGGAUUAGAUACCCGAGUAGUCCCUGUCUCUUAUACAC